rnacentral:rRNA from 1 species
CACCCGCACAAGCGGUGGAUUAUGUGGAUUAAUUCGAUGCAACGCGAAAAACCUUACCUACCCUUGACAUGCUAGGAAGCUCGCAGAGAUGUGAGUGUGCCCGAAAGGGAACCUAGACACAGGUGCUGCAUGGCUGUCGUCAGCUCGUGUCGUGAGAUGUUGGGUUAAGUCCCGCAACGAGCGCAACCCUUGCCAUUAGUUGCUACAUUUAGUUGAGCACUCUAAUGGGACUGCCGGUGACAAACCGGAGGAAGGUGGGGAUGACGUCAAGUCCUCAUGGCCCUUAUGGGUAGGGCUUCACACGUAAUACAAUGGCCGGUACAGAGGGCAGCCAACUCGCGAGAGGGAGCUAAUCCCAGAAAGCCGGUCGUAGUCCGGAUUGCAGUCUGCAACUCGACUGCAUGAAGCCGGAAUCGCUAGUAAUCGCGGAUCAGCAUGUCGCGGUGAAUACGUUCCCGGGUCUUGUACACACCGCCCGUCACACCAUGGGAGUGGGUUUCACCAGAAGUAGUUAGCCUAACCGCAAGGGGGGCGACUACCACGGUGAGAUUCAUGACUGGGGUGAAGUCGUAACAAGGUAGCCGUAUCGGAAGGUGCGGC